rnacentral:rRNA from 1 species
GAUGAACGCUAGCGGCAGGCCUAACACAUGCAAGUCGAGGGGCGAGCGGGAUUGAAGCUUGCUUCAAUCGCCGGCGACCGGCGCACGGGUGCGUAACGCGUAUGCAACCCACCCAGAACAGGGGGAUAACACUGAGAAAUUGGUACUAAUACCCGUAAUAUUACGAAGGGCAUCCUUUGUAGUUGAAAGUUCCGGCGGUUACAGAUGGGCAUGCGUUGUAUUAGAUAGUUGGUGAGGUAACGGCUCACCAAGUCGACGAUACAUAGGGGGACUGAGAGGUUAACCCCCACAUUGGUACUGAGACACGGACCAAACUCCUACGGGAGG